rnacentral:rRNA from 1 species
CAGCAGCCGCGGUAAAACGAGGGGGGCAAGCGUUGUUCGGAAUUAUUGGGCGUAAAGGGUGCGUAGGCGGUUUGACAAGUCUUAUGUGAAAUCUCUGGGCUCAACCCAGAGUCUGCAUGGGAAACUGUCGGGCUUGAGUAUGGGAGAGGUGAGUGGAAUUUCCGGUGUAGCGGUGAAAUGCGUAGAUAUCGGAAGGAACACCUGCGGCGAAAGCGGCUCACUGGACCAUAACUGACGCUGAGGCACGAAAGCUAGGGGAGCAAACAGGAUUAGAUACCCCUGUAGUCCCUGUCUCUUAUAC